AUGUAUAUAUAAUUAGUUUGUUUUGACUGACCCACCUGGCCACUUAGAAGCCAACACAAAUAUUUUGAAUGAGAUUGCCAUCUCUUCUUGCGGUCUAUGACUUAAGACCACGUGUACUCACCUGAAUUAGUUGCUAUCUUCUUUCUCCUCAGUGCCUACAGCUAGCUUAACAGCUGUGGUUAGCCGCCAACUUCAACCAAUAAGGGGCUUUGUAGUUUCCGUUUAGUAACCUAUAAAUAGGAGAUCAACUCCAUUGUUUUCGAACACAAGCUAGCAUGCAAUGCAUGCUUUGCAGCUCAUGUGGUUGUGUUUGUAUAUAUAUAUGUUGAGAGAGAAAGAGAGGAGAGACGAGAAGACAAAUAGAAGGAAGGGAUUAAGAAAUCAAAUAGAAUCAGAGAGAAGGGUGCUGAAUUAUUCAUAUUUAUCUUCCUGCUUGGGAUGUCAGCCUGCAGCAGGGAAUUGAUCACAAUAGUGGUGCACUCUUGUAAUAGAGAGUUGGUGCAAUGCUUUGGAGUCCAGGUUCACGAACUAAACAAUCUAAGAGGGUAGACGGGAUGAGAUCGGAUUAAGUGUGAGGAUAGAAUUUUGUAUUUCUUUAUUUUAGCCUUGUAAAGAAUUAUUAGUUAUUUUAAAUAAGAAGAG